rnacentral:rRNA from 1 species
CAGCGCCACGAGUGGGAACUACAAUUAUUGGGCCUAAAGCGUCCGUAGCCUGUUUAGUAAAUUUCUUGUGAAAUUGUUGAGCUUAACUUAACAACGUGCAGGAAAGACUGCUAAACUUGGGACUGGGAGGGGUUAGAAGUAUUUUUGGGGUAGCGGUAAAAUGUUAUAAUCCCAAAGAGACUACCUAUGGCGAAAGCAUCUAACCAGAACAGGUCCGACGGUGAGGGACGAAAGCUAGGGGAGCAAAACGGAUUAGAGACCCGAGUAGUCC